AGUUUGAUCCUGGCUCAGGACGAACGCUGGCGGCACGCUUAACACAUGCAAGUCGAACGAGAGAAGAGAAGCUUGCUUUUCUGAUCUAGUGGCGGACGGGUGAGUAACACGUGAGCAAUCUGCCUUUCAGAGGGGGAUACCGAUUGGAAACGAUCGUUAAUACCGCAUAACAUAAUUGAACCGCAUGAUUUGAUUAUCAAAGAUUUAUCGCUGAAAGAUGAGCUCGCGUCUGAUUAGCUAGUUGGUAAGGUAACGGCUUACCAAGGCGACGAUCAGUAGCCGGACUGAGAGGUUGAUCGGCCACAUUGGGACUGAGACACGGCCCAGACUCCUACGGGAGGCAGCAGUGGGGAAUAUUGCACAAUGGAGGAAACUCUGAUGCAGCGAUGCCGCGUGAGGGAAGAAGGUUUUAGGAUUGUAAACCUCUGUCUUUGGGGACGAAAAAUGACGGUACCCAAGGAGGAAGCUCCGGCUAACUACGUGCCAGCAGCCGCGGUAAUACGUAGGGAGCGAGCGUUGUCCGGAAUUACUGGGUGUAAAGGGAGCGUAGGCGGGAUCGCAAGUCAGAUGUGAAAACUAUGGGCUUAACCCAUAAACUGCAUUUGAAACUGUGGUUCUUGAGUGAAGUAGAGGUAAGCGGAAUUCCUAGUGUAGCGGUGAAAUGCGUAGAUAUUAGGAGGAACAUCAGUGGCGAAGGCGGCUUACUGGGCUUUAACUGACGCUGAGGCUCGAAAGCGUGGGGAGCAAACAGGAUUAGAUACCCUGGUAGUCCACGCCGUAAACGAUGAUUACUAGGUGUGGGGGGACUGACCCCUUCCGUGCCGCAGCAAACGCAAUAAGUAAUCCACCUGGGGAGUACGACCGCAAGGUUGAAACUCAAAGGAAUUGACGGGGGCCCGCACAAGCAGUGGAGUAUGUGGAUUAAUUCGAAGCAACGCGAAGAACCUUACCAGGUCUUGACAUCGUAUGCAUAGCUCAGAGAUGAGUGAAAUCUCUUCGGAGACAUAUAGACAGGUGGUGCAUGGUUGUCGUCAGCUCGUGUCGUGAGAUGUUGGGUUAAGUCCCGCAACGAGCGCAACCCUUACUGUUAGUUGCUACGCAAGAGCACUCUAGCAGGACUGCCGUUGACAAAACGGAGGAAGGUGGGGAUGACGUCAAAUCAUCAUGCCCCUUAUGACCUGGGCCUCACACGUACUACAAUGGCUGUCAACAGAGGGAUGCAAAGCCGCGAGGUGGAGCGAACCCCUAAAAGCAGUCUUAGUUCGGAUUGUAGGCUGCAACCCGCCUACAUGAAGUCGGAAUUGCUAGUAAUCGCAGAUCAGCAUGCUGCGGUGAAUACGUUCCCGGGCCUUGCACUCACAGCCCGUCA
rnacentral:rRNA from 1 species